GCCCUGGUGGUGGAAUGGUAGACACGCCGGUCUUAGAAGCCGGUGCCGAGAGGCGUGAGAGUUCGAGUCUCUCCUGGGGCA
rnacentral:tRNA from 1 species